AGCACAGGGGAACAAACACAAGAUGCAGCACCUAUCGCCGCUUCCUCGUAGAGACAAGAGGCGAACUUCACACCCUUGGCUAUGGCAUUGGCAGAAUGGCUGGCAUUUACAGAGUUACGGACGGACUUCGAGGACCGAAAGAGAUGGCUGUGGAGUUGGUGACGACAGACCAGUGUGAGCGAGCAAUGGCUUCUUGGUUCAUCCUCUGGGUCCCAUGCUGACCGUGUUUGCGCUAAGAUUUUAAGAUUAUGAACAAGUAGCGCGGCUCGACGGAUGUGGCGAUUUGAAGCAUUCUUUGCUGUGCGUCAGUUUGAGUCGUCGCCGGCGCAAUCAUUCACCGCCAGUGAUAGCGCGUGCUGUUCGGAUCGGAAGGUUUUAGAGUAUGAUAGUGUCGUGUACCUGGCGUCUGUAUCGGUUUCUUGGAGGUGAUUUAUCAGAGCGAAUGAAUUUCGGCGAGUAUGUGGGAUUGAGGAAGAGUAUGGAGUAGGUAAUUUUGUUUUGCUGGAGUUGUAUGACUUGAGGGAGCUUCGGUCAGAGUGUAAUGUGUGAGCUGUUAGCUGUUAGGUUUCUCCUGGAGUUUAUAGUUACGCUUUUGUUGAAAUCCAAGAGAAGGGAGUUUCAAGUGCUUGAGCUAAGAAUGUGGAAAUCGUUUUCGGAAUUGUGAUAUUUGAGGAGAAUUUUGUCAAGAAAGAGGUGACAGUGGUAUUGAUUAUUGUGCUUGCACGGCAGGUACUGGAAAGGGAUUUACGGUGAAUGUUGGAAGUGUACUGGCUACUUAACGUUGAACGCACUUGUUAUGAAUCAGAUAUCGUGUGGACGCAUUCAGUGGUUUUACGUUUGGUGCAUGUUCUUUUGCAAUUUCGAAAUCUUUGACAGAAGCUCGAAGCUGAUUCUUCAAGAAUCAAUUCCAGAGAGUUUCAAGACUGAGAAACGAAACUUGCUUGUUCUGGUCUGAACCUUUUCAUGUUGCAAGCUGAUUGGUUGAAAGAAGUUGAAGACAGAUGGAAAGCAAGUGAUUAGUAUGCAAAACAAAGUCAACAUUGCUGGGAUGAAAGACGGCAUUGCUGCUUUGAAGCGCGGCAAAGCUUUCAUGAAUCUAAUUCAUAAAGCGAAACAUCUGCCUGAGGUUUCCUUUAAAUGCAAGCUUGAUGCACUGUUUCUCUGGCUUGCUCUUUUCAACUCAACGAAAUCUGUGUUAGAUUUUCGUUCUGUUGAAACUUGAUCACACUACCCGUGAAAUCAAAAUGUUUGCCUCCUGGAUGAGCCUUUGAAUUACAUUAUUUAAGCUGAUUAAGGUGCAGUUUGGUUAUUUUAGAAUUUAAACCAUCGUUGCGAAUAUGCGGCCGCUAGACUAUUCUGAUAGCUUCUCCAGCUCUGAUCCUUCCAAACCGCACAGUAGUUUUCUUUUCGCAUCGAUGUCUAGGUUUUUAACAUGGUAGUGCAUCCAGAUCGAAUCACUUAUCACUCUGCAGCGGCUUCAGAUCAAUGAACGCAAAUAGUUGCAGCAAGUGCCCGUUAUCUGCAAUUCAUUUCCCCUACUUUCAGUCUUGUGUGCAUGACAGGGCUAUACGAGAGAUCUGCAAGUGACACUGUUAAUAUUGUUUUAAAUAAUAAGAGGUGUAAGAUUUAUGUGACGUGAGAUUUUCAUGGACUAUGUAAUCAUAUCAGUUGUCUUAGAAAUGAGACCAAAAAUACUGAAGUUGGUGCAUAUAUAAACUAUAUCAGAGUUGCUGCCGCCCUCGAAAAUUAGGAAAAUAUUACGUAGAUAAUGAUAUCUCACACUUCAUAUGGCUUAUGCGAUAGGAGAAAGUACCCACCGGAACGUUGAGUAAUGCGCAAUUGAAUCUCAGGCUGUCGUUCCAUCACGGCGUCUUUGGAACUGCUUCAAUUUUGGCCUUUGAUCCAAUUCAACGCCUUCUUGAAGUUGCCUCAGUAGAUGGACGUAUCAAGAUCUUUGGAGGUGCAGGUGUAGAAGCUUUCUUUCAAUCGUCCACACGAGUCCCAUGUAAAUUUCUGAAGUUCACAUCUGGUGGACAACUCGUUCAUAUUAAUGCUGAGAAUGACGUUGAGGUUUGGGAUCUUGAAAAGCAAACGCUGGGGUGCUCGCUCAGAUGGGAGAGCAAAAUCACAGCAUUUACUGAGAUUCCUGGCACUCAGUUCAUGUUGAUCCACCCCUCAUUUUUUCUCAAACCUUCUAUCUGCUGCUCCGUAUCGUCAUCACAAGAUAGAGAUUACAAAUUAAUAGUGCUAGUAGAUGCUCCAGUAUUGAAUUGCAAGGAGAAAGAAUACAACUAUCGUAUUUUCUUGAAGCAUAGUUAAAACAUGAUUUCAAGCUUUUAAAAACUGCUCGAAGUUGGCGUUGCAGUCAAAUGCCGCAUUUAACAAUAUUCAAAGAUUGAACCUGGUGUAGAUCAUCUUGGAAAAUUGGGAAAAAAUCUUUUCUAUCCUCAUGAAUUGUUCUCUGAUAGAGAGUGAUCUGCCCCCACGGUAUAUUGGAAACGAAUUUGGAACUGUUUCUGUUGUUCAGUUCAGCAAACUGCAGCGAAAGUUGUCUGAGCUUCCAUAUGCCAUUCCUGCUAGUGUAACGUUAGGUUGGUUAUUGUUUAUGAAAAUGCCCUGUUGGUACUUUGGGACCUUCACGAGAAAAAAGUCAUUGGUGUGCGUGGAGGAACAAAAGCAACGUGAAAUUCUUGCAGAAAACUUCAUUAGUAUGCACGAACAAGCUGAAUUACCCGUCGGACAGCCUCAAAUUCCCUGUCCCAAGGCUGUGAGUGAUGAAGAGGACGAAGAAAAGGAAAUCUGCGCCGCAUGUUGGACCUGUGGAAACACCUUGUGCACUGGAUACAUAGAUGGCGAUGUUUGGAUUUGGAGUAUUCCUUCAGUAACAACAGACGACUCUGGGAUUAGCUGUCCUUUUAUUUCAGGAGAACCUCUUCGAAAACUAGAUACACUGCCCGGAAAAUCAACACGAAUGCCUAUUUUCGUCAUGGCAUGGUCUGGUGAUUUGAGAGCCAGCAAAAGUGGUGGCCGGUUGUAUUUAGUAGGAGGUCGAGAAGUGGGUUCCCCAGAAGUGCUUACAGUUCUGCCUUUGGAUGGAAACACAAAUUCAGCGAAGUUGCCACGGCUAGAGCUUCUAUUGCAUGGACCAUUUAGAGAUUUGGCUCUUCUGCCGAAUCCAGGCGGUGCAUCAAUUGCGGCACUAGUAGUCCUUACUUCGCCAGGACAAUUGCAUUUGUACGAUGAAGCUGGCAUUGCUUCUUGUUUCUCCUCUCAGAAUGAAAGUGGUUCCUCAUCAUCUUUAGUGCCAGUGACUUGGCCGGCUCCAUUGCCAUCCACUACAGCAAUCAAAUUUGCUUUACUUCCACAACAGUCAGCAGCGUAUUCUAUCUUACCACAGCAGCGACGUUGUGCCCUUUUCGUUGCCAGCUGGAACACAGUGGCCAAUAACUGGAGGGAAGAUGAACUCUUGUUCCUCAUUGUCAAAGCAGGAUUGGCCACACACAAUUCUAAUCACGGGCCUCAAGAGAGGGCAGGUACAGAUGUGGGAUACCUCCACGUCAACGUUGCAACUUCUUCAGGUCGCAGAAAUACAGACCGGAAUAGAAGCAAGCCCAGUUUCAGCUUUGGCUUUCUGUCCAUUUUUACAGAACUUGGCAGUGGGCAAUGAGCAAGGCAAGGUGUCGUUGCACAGUUUCAGUGUUGAAUCAAGGGAGAUCAACUGCUGCUUUAUUAACAGCAUUAACAGUUCUCAAGGCUCUGUUUCUAGGCUGAAGGCAGUUCCUGGAUUUCAAUGUACGCUUGUUUUAAGUGUGCAUCAAUCGGAAAUAUGUUCGCUAACCAUCGCCAGUAAGUUGCGGAGGCUUGCCACAGGUGAUGUAGCUGGUGUGGUAGUGUUACAACAUGGGUAUACAUCAUGCACUGAAUAUACGUGUAAGGGGGUUUUUGUUAUUUUGUUUUUCUAUUUUCAUUUUUGACGUAAAAUGUUAGAAGCGUAGAAGCCUGAAGCACUAUGCACAACCUUAUGGAUCUGCAUUCAAUUGUGUCGUUUAUCUGACAAAUAUCACUGUUCGACCUGGAUAAUGGACUCUUAUAUAUUUGGGCAGUAGUUUUGAGGGGAAAAUCAACCGUAACAUCAGCAGCAUUGCUUUUGCAACCGUCCCUGUUAAUUUGAAGAGCAGCACUUCUUCUCCUAUGUCGCGAUCGGGGUCCAGGAAUAAAUCUUCUCCACCUGUCUUACUAUUUGGGCCCAGGAGCCAACCUUGUUCACCUAUGUCUCUCCUUCGUUCUCAUCUCCAGUGAUAUUCAUAGCAAACAAAGAAGGGUCC